AUAUAAUGGUCUCAAGUAGAAAAUACCUUGAGGAAGAGCCUGAAUCACAUAGAGAAUUACAGACUCAUGUUAAGAUUCAGGCAGGAAUAGGAUAGACACUCUUUUAACGUCUGGCUGAAGAUGUUAAACUUAGUACUUUUUGGGAGGCAAUCCAAAUUUUUUUUAUUUUAUUUUAACUGAUCUUUAUUUUUUUAGAAAUAAAGGAUCACUC
rnacentral:lncRNA from 1 species